UACGUAGGAGGCGAGCGUUGUCCGGAGUUACUGGGCGUAAAGGGUGCGCAGGCGGCGUCACGCGUGGCUAGAUGAAAUCUCCUGGCUUACCUGGGAGGGUGGUAGCCAGACGGUGGCGCUUGAGGGUCGGAGAGGGGCGUGGAAUUCCGGGUGGAGCGGUGAAAUGCGUAGAUAUCUGGAGGAACACCGGUGGCGAAGGCGGCAUCCUGGACCGAGAUUGACGCUGAUGAGCGAAAGCGUGGGGAGCAAACAGG
rnacentral:rRNA from 1 species